rfam:Eucalyptus grandis cultivar BRASTZ1 unplaced genomic scaffold scaffold_2, whole genome shotgun sequence.
AUACUUACCUGGACGGGGUCGAUGGGCGAUCAAGAAGGCCCAUGGCCUAGGUUGGCGACCUCCAUUGCACUCUCGGAGGGGCGCCCGCCUAAGGUCAGCCCAAGUUGGUUGAGCCUACGUCGUAAUUUGUGGCAGCGGGGGCCUGCGUUCGCGCGGCCCCUAC